CGUCAUCAACAUCAUCCAUCUCCUUCCGUUUCCAUGCCCUCUCCAGAAGCUCAUGGUCGACAGUUUACCGCCUGAUGACUACCAUGGCUGUAACUUAUACAGGAGGAUUCCUGCAAAAAUAGUAAGCUGCUCAAAAGAGUUUACACCAAGUGGUACCUCUCCAGUUCCGUACGAACUUGACCAUCUCCAGAAUGCUGCCGAAAAUAUCUUCGGCCCAAUAUCCUGCCUUAGCGGCACAGGACAGUACUUCUCAUAUUUGGUGCAUGCUCAGCUAUACAUGUAUUUGCUUCCAUUGGAUUGCAGGAUCGUCUCCAGAGGCUCCAUUCCAAUUCCUGGCUCAGACUCCUGCAGUGGCCCAACGUUCAAGGAAAAAGCAGAAAAAUUCAUCAACUUUGCUGAGACGACUGUCAGUUGGGGGUCCUUUCAAGAUGGAGUUCUCGACAACUGCAUGGCGUGUGAACGUCAAAAGCAACUCUGUGCAUUCAGCUCACGAAGGAAUCAAACAUUCUGCACAAGCCACGGCAAUCAUCAUGGUACUAACUAUCCUAACUGCACAAACAUGAUCGUACCACCCAGCUUUGUUCCUGAACUAGUUUUCUACUCUUACUAUGAUUCAAGCAUUCAGCCAUACAGUACUAGUGCACCGCUCUCAAUACAUAUGCUCAAAACUAUUUUUGCAGGCUAGUAGCCUACUACUAGAAAUCAUUUAGGGAACUAACUAGCUUCAUCAAACAUUUUUGCACAAUUGCCAUAAAAGUGUCACAAUAUUUAGUAAAAUAAUGAUAGAAUUAUCUUGAUCAACUAGCAGCAGUUGGACGAUACAUGACAUUAAAGAUCAUAAAACCUGGGACUUCUCAAAGAUAUUUGCUAGAAUUGAUAUUGUCUAUGAACUUAUUGAGACUGCCUCUAUAAGACUUCCUUAUGGUUUCCUCUAGAAGUAGAAAGUAGCUCGAAUAUGUAAACAAGACUGCAAGGGAACACUUGACUGGGACAAGAUAUAAUCUAAGUUUUUUUUUAUUUUUUUGCCAGGUCGGCGAAAGGAAGCCGACCAAAAUUCAUUAAGAUAAAGGAAUAAUUACAGAGGUAUACACGAUAUAAUCUAAGUUUUGGUUUGUUACCUGAUAUAACAGGAGCUGCAGUUAGAUCUUUGGUUGCUUUGAUAAUAGAUUAGUAGACAUGGGAGGUGAUAUGUGGAAGCCUUUAUAAUUUAGCCCAUAACCCACCUCAACUCAUCCUAAUCAUCCUUAUCUGGCAUGACAAAAAUACGAGAGUUAGCACACAGAACUGUCUUAUGAUGAUACUGCAAAAUAAGAUGUAAGGAAAAUUUCACUAUUGCAAAUAUAUUCAUAUGAUCAUGGUGCAUAAAAAUUUAGAGCCAAAACUCUAUCCUACCCCACCAGGGCCAUGUUCGCUGAUACAUUUUGUUGGAUUGCUCUGUUUUUAUUUUCAAGAUGUAAUUAUCCAUUAUCUGUUAAAACCACCAACCAGAACUUAUUAUCUUCGUUCAUACUUGCAGGUUAGCGUGUGAAAGUCAUUUCAGGUACUGCAGUACUCAAACCUACCUUUCUAUUAAAAAGAGAAAAGAAACAAUGUUAUCAGUACAUAUAAAUUCUUAUUGCUAGCAGUUCUGAGUCUUCUGACUCAGCAUUCUUCUGCUAAAAAAGACACCACCUGCUCUUACAGUACCCAUCAGGCAAUCACAAUCAGUUGAUUACUAGCCACAACUUUCGAUCCUAAUGCAAUGUGCUAAUUUCCCCUUCUCUGUUAAUUCAGCUACAUCAUCGGUAGCCGCAUUUGUUGUUUUUUCGUUCAUCAUGGCCACAGCACUCUAUCUUUCACUGAAGUCAAGGUAUGAUGAAGAGGUACAUUUGAAGGUUGAAAUGUUCCUCAGGACAUAUGGCACAUCGAAGCCCACAAGGUACAGUUUCUCUGAUGUUAAGAAGAUAACGAGACGCUUCAAGGAACAAUUAGGUCAGGGUGGAUUUGGAAGUGUAUACAAAGGACGACUACCAAACGGAGUGCCUGUGGCAGUUAAAAUGAUAGAACACUCUACAGGAAAUGGAGAAGAGUUCAUCAAUGAAGUAGCAACAAUUGGACAAAUUCAUCAUAUAAACAUUGCCCGCCUUCUGGGAUUCUGCUCUGAAGGAACACGGCACAUUCUUAUCUAUGAAUUCAUGCCUAAUGAAUCAUUGGAGAAAUGCAUAUUCUUGCAUGACCCUAAUACUUCUCAAGAACUCCUAGCACCAAAAAAGAUGUUAGAUGUUGCCUUAGGCAUUGCCCGAGGAAUGGAGUAUCUUCAUCAAGGAUGCAACCAACGCAUCCUCCAUUUUGAUAUCAAGCCUAAUAAUAUAUUGCUUGACUAUAACUUCAAUCCGAAGAUUUCAGACUUUGGUCUUGCAAAGCUGUGUGCAAGGGACCAAAGCAUUGUUACCUUGACCAAAGCAAGAGGCACGAUGGGCUACAUUGCACCAGAGCUAUAUUCUAGGAACUUUGGGGAGAUAUCUUACAAGUCAGAUGUAUAUAGUUUUGGCAUGCUUGUGUUAGAAAUGGUGAGUGGAAGGAGAAACUCAGACCCGAGUAUUGAGAACCAAAAUGAGGUCUACUUUCCAGAGUGGAUCUAUGAGAAAGUAAUUACUGAGCAGGACUUUGUACUUAGUAGGGAAAUGACAGAAGAAGUAGACUGAAGGUUAGACAGAUGGCCCUCGUGGCACUGUGGUGCAUUCAGUGGAACCCAAGAAACCGUCCCACAAUGACGAAGGUUGUAAACAUGCUAACUGGAAGGUUGCAGAAUAUAGAGGUGCCCCCUAAGCCAUUUGUUUCAUAUGAAAGCCAUGUUGUGCCAUAAAUCAUAGUAAUGUUAUGGGAGUUAUACUUAGUUGACGUGCUGCAUAGUAAUGCUGAUUAACUGUAUGAAGUAUGAAUCGUCGCUCUUUAUUACCAUGUAUUAAAAGUAAUAAGAAACACAUCAGUUGAUGUGAUUACCUUGUUCAGUUGUUGCGAUGUAUAUCUCCAUCCAACCACGGUGUGCAGAGUACUCCUCGCUGUACUAUUUCAGUAAGAUGCCGUCCUCGUCCGUUUCAUGGGUCCAUAUCUAGUGGCUUGCAAGAAAAUCCUGCAAGGAAAUUGAAUUAUGGCAAUUUUUCCCAUGCAGCACAAAUAUAAAAUAUCGAAGCAAAGAGUAUUAUUUUUGUCUGUUUGUCCGUGCGAACGGCCGACUAGGGUAACAUUCAUACCCUGAAUUCGUCACUGAAUAAAGAAGUAGAUUCAUAUCCUAAAUUCCUCACUGAACUAAGAAGUAUAAUAAGUUAAGUUGGCUUGGUCACAUUCCUAUCCAUCCCAUUCAAAAAGUCAGGGCCCGCCUAUCUAUCUGAUGGAAAUCUCACAGCAAACAGGAUGCUGCUGGGCAAGCAAUCGAGGAGCUACGAAUUUGCAAUGUGAAGAGAUGAAUGGGCAUGGACUCGACUAGUGAAUAAGUACACUUUAAUAAAAACUUAGGAAAAAUAAUCAAAAGCAGAGGAAACGGGCUACCUUUAUCAAUGCAAGGAGGGGGCAGCGAACCGAACAACCACCGGAUCAGGAGACCUCCCCGAGUUCUGUCAAUCCUGCGGCUCGGCGUGGCAUCCCGCUUGGGGCCUGGAUUUGCGGCUCGGGUCUCACAAGGACGCAGGGAGAAGGCGACGCAUAGCCCGGGCAACGCGCAUUGACGGCGGAGCGCAAAGCAGAGACAUCGCCGGGGAAGCAGAGGCGGCUGGGAGUCGGUGGGAUCGCCGGCGACGGCGAAGGGUUCGUGGCAAGAGAGGGAGGAAAGGGGAUUCCGUACGGUUUGCAACCAGAAACUAAGCUCGGCCUAGGGCUAGUAAUGGGGCCGGCCCUAAAGCUCCUGCCGCUA
rnacentral:lncRNA from 1 species